rnacentral:rRNA from 1 species
AAGGGAAACUGCGUACGGCUCAUUACACCAGCCUUAAUUUACUUGACCUUGACAACCUACUUGGAUAACUGUGGUAAUUCUAGAGCUAAUACAUGCACCAAAGCUCCGAUCCUCGCGGAGAGGAGCGCAUUUGUUCGCCACAAAACCAAGCGCCCAUCUGGGCGUCCAGUGCUGAACCAGAACAACUCAGCUGAUCGCACGGUCUUGUACCGGCGACGUGUCUUUCAAGUGUCUGCCUUAUCAACUUUCGAUGGUAGUGUACCUGACUACCAUGGUUGUGACGGGUAACGGAGGAUAAGGGUUCGACUCCGGAGAAGGGGCCUGAGAAAUGGCCACUACGUCUAAGGAUGGCAGCAGGCGCGCAAAUUACCCACUCUCAACGCGAGGAGGUAGUGACGAGAAAUAACGAGACCGUUCUCAUACGAGGCCGGUUAUUGGAAUGGGUACAAUUUAAA